GACGGUUUCGGAGACCUGCUCUCCCAAUCGCCGGUGCACGCCGACAAUCGGGAUGGAGUAGACUAUGGUGACGGUGCAGCAGCGAGAGGAGGCAAAAACCUAACUAGUACAGACCACUUUAGGGAUACCCUAACCUGGGGGCCUUCUCGUAUAGUAGUCUAUAUCGCAUCUUUUUCAUGAGGGAGGUGGUCCAUAUAUAUAGGGAGGAAAAGUCCCAACACCCUCAUCUAUUAGCAAUAUGGGAC
rnacentral:lncRNA from 1 species